UUUGGGUGAAGUGUAUGCGGAGGAAGAAGAAGCGAUGAAGCAGCCCCCGGCGUCAUCGUUUCUGUACCACCGGCAGGAAGAGCAGGACGAGGAGAUCGAGGAGGCGGCGGGCAUCACCAUCGGCAUGGAGGUCGACGACUCCGAACCCAUCGACAUCCUCGCUGGCUUCGAUCGCCAGCAGCAACCCGUCGACGCCGACUUCUUCAACUCCUUCGAGGACGACUUCGACGAUCAGGACCUCGCCUGACCGCGUUACCCCUCGCUCUUCCUCUGGCUCCCUCGUUGGCAUUUUAUGAUCAGGAUCUGAUUCUUCUGCUCUUGGUUAUUGCUGUCAAUAUUAUUGUGGUGCCUCAGCUCUUUGUGACCCUGCUGCAAGCAUCGUAGAGAAGCCAUGGAAUCCUUCAGCAGUUUGUUUCUUGUGGGGUUUUCCUUUAAUUACGAGUCUAUUCAGUUGUCAUAUUCAGUGUAUUGAACUCACUGUGAAUCGUAUGGAGAAUGCGGAAUGGAAUCCUGUGACCAUCAUGAAUAAUUUUUAAAGUUAAUUAAAUCUUUUUUAGUAUUU